rnacentral:lncRNA from 1 species
AGUCAGCUGAGCAGCACCGAGCUCCUGCCAGUGGAAGUGUUGGUGGAAUUCGGUUCCGAUUUCAGCCCUGACUCCCCUUGCCCCGUUCUGGCUGCCAGCAGCUCCUCAGCAUCACACCGUGGUCAGGAACAUCUCAAUUCACUUUCAAACAUCCUCUUUCAGAUGUAGCCCUCUCUUUGUGUUCAAAACCCGCGCCCUCCCAGCGGGAUCACUUCUGUUUUAGGAGUUAGACUUGCUGGGGGAUUGCAUCAUGAGUGCGUCAGGCUGCUUGCACCGCCAGCAGGGAGGAAAGGCUGGGAACCGUCUGCCCCCUCCCAGCAGCUCUGGCAGGACAAGGACAGCUCUGGGCUCAGGGAAAUCCACCUCGGACCUGGCUGGGCUUGCUUACAAAGUACAAUCUGUCUCAAGUAGCCACGAUGAGGAGGAGACCUGGGAGCAGAAGAAAUGUUACAGAUGAAGCAGCUGAUUAAAGCCCUUCCUGUAUCUUCAGAAUGAUUUUUGUGGACAUGGGCUCCAUGGAACUCUGGUGAUCCC